rnacentral:lncRNA from 1 species
AUGGACUCCAGGGGAUGGAGAAUGGAAGGCAGCAGAUGUUUGUUGACUUCUUGCUCUAUAUCGGGCACUGUGCUAGAUACCAUACACGCCAUCAACAUUUAGGACAGUAUCAGGAUAUCUGGAAAUGCCUCCACCAUGGCUACAAGUUUUUUAAAAGACAAAGGAGAAUGAAAGCUGUCUCUUGUAGAUAGGAUAUUUUCAGCCGUCAUCACCAUGGACUCUUUGAAAUGUACUACUUCAGAAAAGCCACAGUGACUCCCUCUGGGCCUCACCCACCUGAGAUGACAUCACGACGCAAAUCUAGGACUUACGCUCUUCAUACGGAUGGAAUGGUUGGUUCACUUGGCUUUCAGAGUGCAGACAAGCCAUUCAGUGGAGGGCAUGCCUCAGCCUGCACUCUUCUGACUCAUGACAUGACUUCUCCAUGGAGAGCCA